CCUUGUCGGGUAAGUUCCGACCUGCACGAAUGGCGUAAUGAUGGCCAGGCUGUCUCCACCCGAGACUCAGUGAAAUUGAACUCGCUGUGAAGAUGCAGUGUACCCGCGGCAAGACGGAAAGACCCCGUGAACCUUUACUAUAGCUUGACACUGAACAUUGAGCCUUGAUGUGUAGGAUAGGUGGGAGGCUUUGAAGCGUGGACGCCAGUCUGCGUGGAGCCGACCUUGAAAUACCACCCUUUAAUGUUUGAUGUUCUAACGUGGACCCGUUACCCGGGUUGCGGACAGUGUCUGGUGGGUAGUUUGACUGGGGCGGUCUCCUCCUAAAGAGUAACGGAGGAGCACGAAGGUUGGCUAAUCCUGGUCGGACAUCAGGAGGUUAGUGCAAUGGCAUAAGCCAGCUUGACUGCGAGCGUGACGGCGCGAGCAGGUGCGAAAGCAGGUCAUAGUGAUCCGGUGGUUCUGAAUGGAAGGGCCAUCGCUCAACGGAUAAAAGGUACUCCGGGGAUAACAGGCUGAUACCGCCCAAGAGUUCAUAUCGACGGCGGUGUUUGGCACCUCGAUGUCGGCUCAUCACAUCCUGGGGCUGAAGUAGGUCCCAAGGGUAUGGCUGUUCGCCAUUUAAAGUGGUACGCGAGCUGGGUUUAGAACGUCGUGAGACAGUUCGGUCCCUAUCUGCCGUGGGCGCUGGAGAACUGAGGGGGGCUGCUCCUAGUACGAGAGGACCGGAGUGGACGCAUCACUGGUGUUCGGGUUGUCAUGCCAAUGGCACUGCCCGGUAGCUAAAUGCGGAAGAGAUAAGUGCUGAAAGCAUCUAAGCACGAAACUUGCCCCGA
rnacentral:rRNA from 1 species